rnacentral:tRNA from 1 species
UAAAAGAUAAGCUAAAAAAGCUAAUGGGCUCAUAACCCGUCUAUGAAUUUCUCUCUUUUAU